rnacentral:tRNA from 1 species
GGGGAUGGGGCUCAGUGGUGGAGCACUUGCUUAAUAAGCACAAGGCUCUGGGUUCAAUCCCCAGCACCA